GACGAACGCUGGCGGCGUGCCUAAUACAUGCAAGUUGAGCGCUGAAGGUUGGUACUUGUACCAACUGGAUGAGCAGCGAAUGGGUGAGUAACGCGUGGGGAAUCUGCCUUUGAGCGGGGGACAACAUUUGGAAACGAAUGCUAAUACCGCAUAAAAACUUUAAACACAAGUUUUAAGUUUGAAAGAUGCAAUUGCAUCACUCAAAGAUGAUCCCGCGUUGUAUUAGCUAGUUGGUGAGGUAAAGGCUCACCAAGGCGAUGAUACAUAGCCGACCUGAGAGGGUGAUCGGCCACAUUGGGACUGAGACACGGCCCAAACUCCUACGGGAGGCAGCAGUAGGGAAUCUUCGGCAAUGGACGAAAGUCUGACCGAGCAACGCCGCGUGAGUGAAGAAGGUUUUCGGAUCGUAAAACUCUGUUGGUAGAGAAGAACGUUGGUGAGAGUGGAAAGCUCAUCAAGUGACGGUAACUACCCAGAAAGGGACGGCUAACUACGUG
rnacentral:rRNA from 1 species